AUUGAACGCUGGCGGCAUGCCUUACACAUGCAAGUCGAACGGCAGCACGGGUGCUUGCACCUGGUGGCGAGUGGCGAACGGGUGAGUAAUACAUCGGAACAUGUCCUGUAGUGGGGGAUAGCCCGGCGAAAGCCGGAUUAAUACCGCAUACGAUCUACGGAUGAAAGCGGGGGACCUUCGGGCCUCGCGCUAUAGGGUUGGCCGAUGGCUGAUUAGCUAGUUGGGGGGGUAAAGGCCUACCAAGGCGACGAUCAGUAGCUGGUCUGAGAGGACGACCAGCCACACUGGGAAUGAGACACGGCCCAGACUCCUACGGGAGGCAGCAGUGGGGAAUUUUGGACAAUGGGCGAAAGCCUGAGCCAGCCAGGCAGCGUGUGUGAAGAAGGCCUUCGGGUUGUAAAGCACUUUUGUCCGGAAAGAAAUCCUUGGCCCUAAUACGGUCGGGGGAUGACGGUACCGGAAGAAUGAGCACCGGCGAACUACGU
rnacentral:rRNA from 1 species